rnacentral:rRNA from 1 species
UACGGAGGGUGCAAGCGUUACUCUGAAUUACUGGGCGUAAAGCGCACGCAGGUGUCUGAGUCAGUCGAUUGUGAAAGCCCUGGGCUUAACCUGGGAAUUGCAGUCGAUACUACUCAGCUAGAGUAUGGGAGAGGGCAGUGGAAUUCCCGGUGUAGCGGUGAAAUGCGUAGAGAUCCGGAGGAACACCAGUGGCGAAAGCGGCCACCUGGACUGCACCUGACGCUGAAACGCGAAAGCUAGGGGAGCGAACGGG